GAUGAACGCUGGCGGCGUGCCUAAUACAUGCAAGUCGAGCGAACGGACGAGAAGCUUGCUUCUCUGAUGUUAGCGGCGGACGGGUGAGUAACACGUGGAUAACCUACCUAUAAGACUGGGAUAACUUCGGGAAACCGGAGCUAAUACCGGAUAAUAUUUUGAACCGCAUGGUUCAAAAGUGAAAGACGGUCUUGCUGUCACUUAUAGAUGGAUCCGCGCUGCAUUGGCUAGUUGGUAAGGUAACGGCUUACCAAGGCAACGAUGCAUAGCCGACCUGAGAGGCUGAUCGCCCACACUGGAACUUAGACACCGUCCAUACUCCUACGGUACGCCGCAGUAGGGUAUGUUACGCAGUAGGCGGAAACAUGACAGAGCGACGCCACGUGAGUGGUGGCGAUGCUCGGAUCGUAAUGCUCUGUUAUUAGGGAUAAACAUCUGUGUACGUAGCUGUACACAUCUUGACGGUAACUAAUCAGAAAGCAACGGCUAACUACGUG
rnacentral:rRNA from 1 species